CCAGACUCCUACGGGAGGCAGCAGUGGGGAAUAUUGCACAAUGGGGGGAACCCUGAUGCAGCGACGCCGCGUGGGGGAAGGAGCACCUCGGUGCGUAAAGCCCUAUCGGCAGGGAAGAAACAGACGGUACCUGACUAAGAAGCCCCGGCUAACUACGUGCCAGCAGCCGCGGUAAUACGGAGGGGGCAAGCGUUAUCCGGAUUCACUGGGUGUAAAGGGAGCGUAGACGGCGGCGCAAGUCUGGAGUGAAAGCCCGGGGCCCAACCCCGGGACUGCUCUGGGAACUGCGUCGCUGGAGUUCGGGAGGGGCAGGCGGAAUUCCUGGUGUAGCGGUGAAAUGCGUAGGUAUCAGGAGGAACCCCGGCGGCGAAGGCGGCCUGCUGGGCCGUGACUGACGUUGAGGCUCGAGAGCGUUGGGAGCAAACAGGAUUAGAUACCCCUGUAA
rnacentral:rRNA from 1 species